ACUAAUUCACUAUUAAAGUCACCGGCACUUAAGCAUUUUCAACUAACAAAGGCACCAGCGAAACUAAUUCACUAUUAAAGUCACCGACACUUAAGCAUGUUCAACAAAUAAAGUAACCAACCACAUCAACUCCUAAACAAAAGUUCACUUUUAAAGUCACCAAAACUUAAGCAUUUUCAACUAAUAAAGUCACCAACAACAUCACUUCCUAAACACUAAUUCACUAAUGCACUUCUCAAGUGACCGUGCUUAAUUAAAUUCAAAAAAGAAGUUCACAUUUCAAGUACCUACACUUAAACAUUUUCAAGUCACUAACUCACUUCU
rnacentral:lncRNA from 1 species